rnacentral:rRNA from 1 species
UACGGGGGGGGCAAGCGUUGUUCGGAAUUACUGGGCGUAAAGCGCGCGUAGGCGGUUUGUUAAGUCAGCUGUGAAAGCCCCCGGCUCAACUGGGGAGGGUCACGCAAUACUGAUCGACUCGAAGGCAGGAGAGGGUAGUGGAAUUCCCGGUGUAGUGGUGAAAUGCGUAGAUAUCGGGAGGAACACCAGUGGCGAAGGCGACUACCUGGCCUGUUCUUGACGCUGAGGCGCGAAAGCUAGGGGAGCAAACGGG